rnacentral:rRNA from 1 species
AACGAACGCUGGCGGCAGGCCUAACACAUGCAAGUCGAGCGGACCUUUCGGGGUCAGCGGCGGACGGGUGAGUAACGCGUGGGAAUAUGCCCUUCUCUACGGAAUAGUCCUGGGAAACUGGGGGUAAUACCGUAUACGCCCUUUGGGGGAAAGAUUUAUCGGGGAAGGAUCAGCCCGCGUUGGAUUAGGUAGUUGGUGGGGUAAUGGCCUACCAAGCCGACGAUCCAUAGCUGGUUUGAGAGGAUGAUCAGCCACACUGGGACUGAGACACGGCCCAGACUCCUACGGGAGGCAGCAGUGGGGAAUCUUAGACAAUGGGGGCAACCCUGAUCUAGCCAUGCCGCGUGAGUGAUGAAGGCCUUAGGGUUGUAAAGCUCUUUCAGCUGGGAAGAUAAUGACGGUACCAGCAGAAGAAGCCCCGGCUAACUCCGUG